rnacentral:rRNA from 1 species
GAUGGAGCAAUACCAUGUGAACGAUGAAGGUCUUCUGAUUGUAAAGUUCUUUUAUUUAGGAAAAAAAGCUUGAUAGGAAAUGAUUAAGCCUUGAUUGUACUAAAUGAAUAAGUGACAGCUAACUAUGUGCCAGCAGCUGCGGUAAAACAUAGGUCACGAGCAUUAUCCGGAUUUAUUGGGCGUAAAGGAAGCGUAGGCGGACAAAUUGAUCUAUUGUUAAAGGCACUUGCUCAACGAGUUGUUUGUGAUAGAUAUCGUUUGUCUAGAAUUAGUUAGGAGAUACUGGAAUUCAAUGUGUAGCGGUGGAAUGCGUAGAUAUAUUGAGGAACACCAGAGGCUAAGGCGAGUAUCUAGGACAUAAUUGACGCUGAGGCUUGAAAGCGUGGGGAGCAAAUGGGAUUAGAUACCCCAGUAGUCCACGCCGUAAACGAUGGGUAUUAGGUAUUUGGUCUAGGACUGAGUGCUGUAGCUAACGCGUUAAAUA